GUCACCACUGCAGGAGUCAUUUUGGAAAACUUUUCAAUUCUAGCUUCUAAAAUUGGUAUUUAAUUCAUGAUAUGCUCGGAUAUUGGGAUCAAUAUUUGAACUUCAAGAGAAUUUCUUGGUGGUGUAAUUUCAGGGGAUCUAAAUGCACAGAAAUGUGCUGUUUGGUGGGAAAACAUUAGCAAAAACUGUAAGGUUAAUAGUGUGCAGUUUCUGGAAAUUUGGACUACCUGUAUAUCCACAAGCUUAUCCCGCUCGCUAUCAAUUGCUGAAUUGUUGGCAGAAUAGUUGAUGGACCCCCAGUAUAGUUCACACCGCUGGACACAAUGCCAAAAACAAGCUCAGACUCUUAUAAUUGAAGACUUAUUAUUAUCAGAUCAAGUUUUAGCACAUUAGAAGAGCUGCUUGCACCUCCAGAAGAUUUAGAUAUGCCUCAACAUAAUUAUCAGUGCAAGGGUCGAAAUUUGUGACCUAUUGAUGUGAAAGAGAAUCACUGGCUUAGCACUUACAGAACCAGUCGAGCCAGGCUUUAGGGCGGAUUGUUUGCAAAUUGGUGCGUAGAUGUUGUAAAGAUCGAGUUUUUCAACUUCUGAAUCGCCUUGGUUUUGAUAUUGAAGACAUGUGCUUGGAUAGUUACCUGUAACAAAGUUGCAAUACUUGUUGAUUCCUUCGUGGAUUUCGUCUGAAUUUAGAGAGUGUGUCCAGUAAUAAUCAUAUCUUCCCUUCUUGCCAGUGCUUUCGUCUAUCCAGGCAUUCCCAAGCUGCAUAUCAUGAGUUGAAAUCUUAAUGCAAGCCUUAGAAACAUCUAUCAGAAACCAAGAAUGAAGGUUGAGCUAAGUAGGAGACUAACAGCAAUGCCUUUGAGGUUGAUGAUUGUUUGAUCUGUAUUCUUGUUCUUUGAUAGAAUAGUCUGGGCGAGUUG